rnacentral:rRNA from 1 species
UACAGAGGUCUCGAGCGUUGUUCGGAUUCAUUGGGCGUAAAGGGUGCGUAGGUGGCGUGGUAAGUCUGGUGUGAAAUCCCGGGGCUCAACCCCGGAACUGCACUGGAUACUGCCAUGCUUGAGUACUGGAGAGGAGAUUGGAAUUUACGGUGUAGCAGUGAAAUGCGUAGAUAUCGUAAGGAAGACCAGUGGCGAAGGCGGAUCUCUGGACAGUUACUGACACUGAGGCACGAAGGCCAGGGGAGCAAACGGG